rnacentral:lncRNA from 1 species
GCCUGACAGGUGGACUUCCCCUGUUGCCUCUGGAACACACUCACGGCUCUCAGCUGCAGUUGGAUGGAGAUGAGAGAGUGGAGCCGCAGCACUGGAUAGAGAUGGAGAAUCACUUCUCUCUCAGCCACACCCUCUUCAAGAUCGCACCCCUUCUUCCUGUCUUCUCUGUGUGGCAGAGGUGACUGCUCUGAAGACGAGAUCCACUAUCCAGAAGUGAGUUCCAGGUGUGUGCUUUGGAUCGGUCUGGAAUAUGGAAAGACACUGGAGCGGGAAGAUGUGGAUGGGAAGAAAAGAUAGGAUGCUGUCCCUCCUAAGGGGGCUUGCCCACCUGUGAGGAUACCUGCCCUGCAAGAUAAAGUAAAAUUGCAGAUGGAAACCAGAGACGGCCUGUUUUGAUGAUGUAGCCUUUGCUGACAAUCCAGAAGCACAAACACAUGGGAAGAGCUACUGUUAGAAAGUCUCCCUUGAAAUGCAAAUGAUGGCUGAUGGUACAAAUUCUGAAGUGCAAGGAGAAUGCAUCUGAUGGAGAUGCGUGGAGAGUAUGAACAUCCUGCCAGGCAAGUAACAACUGGAGAUCAUAGGGUUCAUUGCUAGGUAA